CAGAACCGAGGAAAGCGCGACUGGCCGAAGCAGCCAAUCGGAACGUAGCCCCAGCAUCGGAACUCCAGACUGCAAAACGUGCCGGAAGGGGAGGGUUCUGGACAUGCAGCUUUAUUUUGAAAAGCUCUCCUCUGCAGACCUGUCAGCAAUUUCCUCAAGCAGGCCAAGGUGCAGACCAAACAGAUGAGGAGGAGACAUUUAGAAUUGUAUGGAAGAUGAAAUACUUACAUCUAUGGUUUUAUCACUGAAAUACUUGAUGUAUUCAGGACCCAGGUAUAUAGGUGGCUUACAAGUCAUCAGGAACACUGAAAAGGUACACACAGAAGCAUGGCUUAGCACCAUGUUGGAAUGGUGCCAACAAUUCAUGAAGACUCUUUAAGAGAUAUUGUUCAAUUGGCAGAAACUCUUCAGAGAUGACAGCAUUCAUGUGGGAUGUUAAGAUGAGUAAGUUACAUUUCCUUUCACAAAUUGAAAUACCGGGUACAUUUCAAAAUGAAAUCAUUUAAAUAAAGAACUUCAGUCUACAGUAACUCAGUAGUAUUUCAAAUAAUUGCCUCUCAUAGGAUUUACGAGUCCAAAAGUUCUUAAGAGGCAAGGCUGGUUUUUAAUCUGUCUUCUUCCUGUCUCUGGCCCAGCGUAUGUGGUGUAAUCUCAGCCAUCUGCACUGAAGGAUCUUACCUAUGCAGAGAGUGAGAUACAGCAGUCCCAUCCGGAUGUCAAGGCGGAAGAAAAGGAUGACAUUGGCGACUUUGCUGAACAUGAAGAUAUUUCCGACAUGUUGGUCCACAGUAACUUGAGAAACAGAAAGUAAGUUGUCAUGUACAUCAGCACAGGAUCAAGGAGCUCUUCCUGAAACUUGAACAGGCCCCAAAUGUGCAUAUCUGAAGCCAAAAUCUGAUAAUUUAGGGAUGAUUUCUCUUUCCCUUUGCAGAGUCCAUGAUUUGAAGAAAUGUCAGAGUUUUACCACAUAAUGGUACAUUCUAUUUACAUGCUACUGUUUUGUGUUUAAUAUAAGUUGCAACAGGUCUCUAUAGCUAACAGUCACCAUGUAAACUUUCUAAGGUUUGUAUUUUGUACUUUCAUUCCUGUUGAUUUUUAAAACCCUUUUAUCUUA